UUGAAAAAGAACCUAUGGUCUAGAUAGUGCUUUGCUGGUCUUUAGGGACAUGUGCAUGCCUUCUGGUCAUUUGUUUCUUCUGUUCCACCUGUGCACCGUUGUAGACAUAUUCUUAUGUCUAUGAUAUUACCACAUGCGCAUAUAUUGAAAUGUGUAAUUUUAUUUGUAAUAAAUUGA
rnacentral:misc_RNA from 1 species